GUGAAUCAUCGAAUCUUUGAACGCACAUUGCACCCCCUGGUAUUCCAGAGGGUAUGCCUGUUCGAGCGUCAUUAAAUCCCUCAAGCCCAGCUUGGUAUUGGGUGUCACCUUCUUGGUGCACCUCAAAAUUAGUGGCGGUGCCAUUUUGGCCUCAAGCGUAGUAAUCUUCCUCGCUUUAGAGGUUGGAUUUGUGCUUGCCAAGCAAAUCUACUCUUUUUUGCAGUUGACCUCGGAUCAGGUAGGGAUACCCGCUGAACUUAAGCAUAUCAAUAAGCGGAGGA
rnacentral:misc_RNA from 1 species